rnacentral:tRNA from 1 species
GAGGGUAUAGCUCAGUGGUUGAGCGUGUGUGCUUAGCAUGCACAAGGUCCUGGAUUCAAUCCUCAGUACCUCCA